rnacentral:misc_RNA from 1 species
UUGUUGAAUGCUUUUUUUUUUUUUAAAUAAUUCUGGAGCAAAUUUAAGUUGAUUAGUGUUGUGGGUUAUGGCUCUUAGGUAAUGGUCCAUAGAUUUUGAUGCACCAAUAUUCCGUGUGGUGCCUCUGCAAAGGCCUGCAGAAGAAUGAGUCGGCCCUAGUAGUGCCCCUGCAAAGGCCAGCAGAAGGGGUUCCUUGAAAUUGAUUGCAUUUCUAUAUCGUCUUGAACGGCUCCAACAAUACAUUUAGUUGAGUUUGAAAUUGAGGCUGAGAUAAUUUUAAUGUAUAUUUAGUAAAAUAAUGUAAAAAACGAAAUAAAAAUUUUAUUGAUAAGUUAAAUUUAUUAAAUUAGAAUAUCG